GCGGCCCUGAGCACGAGAACCGCAGGCUGAGCCUUCAACCUGUUGAUAACAAAGAACACAUCACGUCCUGUGAAAGGUGAACAUCCCAACUGUGAACUACACGCAGUCAAACUAGACAUGCCAAACGAAUCGCGCGAGAUUUGGCUGCCGAGGAAUAAUUAUGGUUAAUUAUUCUAAAGCAUUAUUUUGAAUUUGUUUGAUUUCAGCCCUGGAGAGCAGUUCACAGCGCUGUAUGCUUUACUGAGUAGCGGCUCCUGUUGAGGGUGCGUGAGACCCGCUGCUCUGGGGCUGGUGGGGGCCGCUUUGGAGGAGCUCAGCGAGCGGCGGAAAAGCGCAAUAAAGCCGCGAAGAAGAAGCGCUUCAGAGCGGCCAGCGCCUCCGGUCAGACCCGCGUGCGCGCGUGCAUGUGUGGAUGAGGAAACUGCGAGGGAGACCAGCCGAGCACGGGACAGUGAGCUCAGCUGCAGUGGCUCUACAUUACAGCACUAGAGGGUGUUUUCUAUAAACAAUGGCGUCAGAAGCAGUCAGGCACAGACAGGUGCACCAGCCAAACAUGGAGAGAGCUUUGGUAUGUUUCUUCAGCUAAAGGUACAAGACCCUACAAGCUGAGCGUCUAUGUGGGAGCGUGGCGAUCAGGUCCAGAUGGAGAAGGUUGUGACCCUCACUGGGCCAGGCUAGAUGAUCCACUGUCACUCACAGCCUCUGCGUGUGUGCGUUAGGAAAAGAAGAGGACAGAGAGAUGCUACAGCAAACGUAUUUCAGGAAAAGGAUAAAGAGAGAGAAUUGGGAGGGAUGAUACAUAUGCAGUGCUGCAUAGUAUAUUAUGGCAUCAUAGUUUCAGAUGAUAUUUAAGACUGCAUUAAUAAAGUUAGUGAACCCUUGCACUUCUGAGUACUGACAGUCUAAUAUAAAUACAAAUGUAUCAUUACAACUCUGAGACAACCUGGCUUGAAUGGAUGGGAACUUUAUGCCUUUAUGUAUUUUGUUUCCUAAUUAUUCAAAAGAAAAAAAAUAAGAAACACAUCACAAAAAGUAUAUAUGGUAGUUUGCUAGCUUUUAGUGCUCCAUCAAUUUUACGUCAGUUUUAUAAAUAAUAUUG